UACAGAGGUCCCAAGCGUUGUUCGGAUUCACUGGGCGUAAAGGGUGCGUAGGUGGUUGGGUAAGUCUGAUGUGAAAUCUCCGGGCUCAACCCGGAAAUGGCAUUGGAUACUAUUCGGCUAGAGGUUUGGAGGGGGGACUGGAAUUCUCGGUGUAGCAGUGAAAUGCGUAGAUAUGUGGAGGAACACCGAUGGCGAAGGCAGCCCCCUGGGCUAACACUGACGCUCAUGCACGAAAGCGUGGGGAGCAAACAGG
rnacentral:rRNA from 1 species